rnacentral:rRNA from 1 species
GGACUACUGGGGUAUCUAAUCCUGUUUGCUACCCACGCUUUCGUGUCUCAGCGUCAGUUACGGUCCAGAGAGCCGUCUACACCGCCGGUGUUCCUCCUGAUAUCUACGCAUUUCACCGCUACACCAGGAAUUCCACUCUCCUCUCCCGCACUCGAGUCACUCAGUAUUCGGCGCACCCUCCCAGUUGAGCCGGGAGAUUUCACACCAAACUUAAGCAACCGCCUACACACCCUUUACGCCCAGUAACUCCGAACAACGCUCGCUGCCUACGUAUUACCGCGGCUGCUGGCAC